rnacentral:rRNA from 1 species
ACUCCUACGGGAGGCAGCAGUGGGGAAUAUUGCACAAUGGGCGCAAGCCUGAUGCAGCCAUGCCGCGUGUAUGAAGAAGGCCUUCGGGUUGUAAAGUACUUUCAGCAGUGAGGAAGGUGGGUAUGUUAUAGCAUAUUCAUUUGACGUUAGCUGCAGAAGAAGCACCGGCUAACUCCGUGCCAGCAGCCGCGGGUAAUACGGAGGGUGCGAGCGUUAAUCGGAAUUACUGGGCGUAAAGCGCAUGCAGGUGGUUUGUUAAGUCAGAUGUGAAAGCCCGGGGCUCAACCUCGGAAUUGCAUUUGAAACUGGCAAACUAGAGUACUGGUAGAGGGGGGUAGAAUUUCAGGUGUAGCGGUGAAAUGCGUAGAGAUCUGAAGGAAUACCGGUGGCGAAGGCGGCCCCCUGGACAGAUACUGACACUCAGAUAGCGAAAGGCGUGGGGAGCAAACAGGAUUAGAUACCCUGAUAGGCUCUGC